rnacentral:rRNA from 1 species
UACAGAGGGUGCAAGCGUUGUUCGGAAUUAUUGGGCGUAAAGCGCGUGUAGGCGGCUUCGUAAGUUGGGUGUGAAAGCCCUCGGCUUAACCGAGGAAGUGCGCCCAAAACUGCGUGGCUUGAGUACCGGAGAGGAUGGCGGAAUUCCCGGUGUAGAGGUGAAAUUCGUAGAUAUCGGGAGGAACACCAGCGGCGAAGGCGGCCAUCUGGACGGAUACUGACGCUGAGACGCGAAAGCGUGGGGAGCAAACAGG